rnacentral:rRNA from 1 species
UACGGAGGGGGGCUAGCGUUGUUCGGAAUUACUGGGCGUAAAGCGCACGUAGGCGGCUUUGCAAGUUAGAGGUGAAAGCCCCGGGGCUCAACUCCGGAAUUGCCUUUAAAACUGCAUCGCUAGAAUUGUGGAGAGGUAAGUGGAAUUCCGAGUGUAGAGGUGAAAUUCGUAGAUAUUCGGAAGAACACCAGUGGCGAAGGCGACUUACUGGACACAUAUUGACGCUGAGGUGCGAAAGCGUGGGGAGCAAACAGG